CCAAGUGCCCCCAAAGCAGUCUUUUGCUGAAAAGAGACUACUGUAUCCAAAUUCAUAGCUUUUCUUAGCAGGACCCAGAACUAGGACUUCAAUUUGUGUACAAACUGUGCUCCAUGUUUUAUGCUUUUUCUUUCUCAAAGGUUCUUUUGUCCUGGUGCUCUCUCAUUUAUGUAUGUUUGCUUCUAUGUCCUACUAACUAGCCACAGGCUUCCCUGUAGCAAUACCUGUCAAUUCACUCAGCACACUAAAUACCCAGGAGUUAUCAGGAGCAUCCUUUCUUUCCUUUCCCAACAAAUUCACCUCAACUUACUAAAAAUAUUUUUAAGCAUCUCUUCUGUGCAAGACAAUGCAUGUGAGCUAAGUGCUGGGAAAGGAAAGACAAAAGCAAAUAGUCCCUAUCCUCAAGGUGCUUCCAUUCUACUUAAAAGCUAGAAUAGGUACAUGAGGAUUGAAAGACUUUGGGUAGAAUAUGUGAAGAAUAGUAGAGAGGCUAUGAUGAGCUUUAAAUGACAAACCAAGGAGUUGAUCCUAGAUCUUGGAGGUAAUAGUGCGUCCUUAUAGGUUCUUUGGAGGGACAUCAUCAGGCAUGUACUUUAUUUAGGAAAGUCAUUUUGGUGACUAGGUGAUGGACUGGGUCAAGGGUAGUAUUGAGUAUGGAGUAGUAUUGAGGAUGGAGGAAGAUAAAUCCACAAUGUAGUAAAAAAAAAAAAAAAAAAAAAAAAAAAAAAAGUGUCUUUGUGCAGAUAAAUAGUAGAAAACUAUUGUUGUCAUACUUCUUUCAUAUAGCAUAAAUUUAGAAUUUGAUCCACAUAAAUCUUUCUUUCCCUGACAGAUUCUUACCUUCAGUCCUGGCUGUGCUUUAUAUAGAAGCUUUAAUGGCACUUAAGAAGAUGAAAGCAAAAGAAUGACUGGACCAGACCACAAACACAAAGAAAAAAUUUGUAUCGAAGGCAAUACAAUCUAAAAAGCAUUGGGAAAUUAUUUUUCAAGGGGAAGUCUUCACAUGCUUGGGGUAGACAUCCAUCUGAUUCACCAAUGGGUUUGAGGCUCAUCGGUUACCCCCAACAUAGUAGUUCAUCUGCCAAGACAGAUUUACUGGAGCGUGUCUGCUGCACAUGCUACAGCUUCUUAGAGUCACAGGAAUAAAAUAAGAAGACAUAUGGUCUCCAAAUGACUUUGUUACUGCAGUGAGAGAUAUACAGCACAGAGUUUAUAUUGAAGUUUCUCUAUGGAUGGUGAAACUUCUCAGUUACUACUUGGAGAAGUCAUUGUGCUGCUGAUUUCAUCAAGUAUUUACAACAUUGCAGAGCCUCCUUACUGAGAUGUACAAAAGAAAUUUGGCUUAAUGAUCGAUGCAGGAAAACCUAAGUGGAUGAAGAAUACCUACUGCCAAUAUUAUGGUAUGUAAUUAGAUAGAUAACCUGUGGAGAUGGCAAAUUCAAAUCACUUCAACAAAUAGUUAUUAGAUCCUUAGAUUGUAGGCUAGGCGCUGAGGAUACAAAGGCCAAAAAAAAACCAAAAGCAAAAACAAAAACAUUCCUAACAUCAAUAAAUUUA